ensembl:lncRNA
GGGCUACAGAGGAUGUGGGAACCCGCCCUCGGGCAAGCAGAACUGUGCCUGGCCCAGAGCAGCGCCCCAGGACACACAGACACCCUUCCCGGCCGGCCAGCAUCUGUAGUGGGCGAGGAUGAGGAACCAGGUGAAGUGGAUGUCUUCUCAUUAGCCCAUCCCAAUCCCCAGCCCGAAGAGGCAGAAACCAUCCCGGGUUUGAGUCUUGUCUUGAGCACCCUGAGGCCAGGACACAGUGUGUGUGGCACGCAGGAUCUUAGUUCCCCAACCAGGGAUGGAACCCAUGGAAGUGCAGAGUCCUAACGCCUGGAUAGCCAGGGAAUUCCUAGGAACUCUAUUUUAAUCCCCAUGGACCCCUGCCCCUUGCAUUGGCUCCUCUGUCCAUGCCAGGCUCCUCUGUCCGUGGGACUUUCCAGGCCUGGAAGGACCAGCACUUCCUCCAAGAGUUUCUCCAUCACCUCCCUAUGUGGUCCUGAACCGUUCAAUUUCCUUGACGUCAGUUUCCUGGGUCAAGACAAUUUGUUCACGCUCUUCAACCCUCUGACUUGCUCUGACUGUGAAUAGCAGUGGCAACAUCACAGUGUCUCUGUGGGGCUAACAAUUGAGUUCCUGUUGGUGGGACUUCCUGGCGGUCCAGUGGUCAAGGUUCUGUGCUUCCAGUGCAGAGG